AUUGAACGCUGGCGGCAUGCCUUACACAUGCAAGUCGAACGGUAACGCGGGGCAACCUGGCGACGAGUGGCGAACGGGUGAGUAAUGCAUCGGAACGUGCCCAGUAGUGGGGGAUAGCCCGGCGAAAGCCGGAUUAAUACCGCAUACGACCUAUGGGUGAAAGCGGGGGAUCGCAAGACCUCGCGCUAUUGGAGCGGCCGAUGUCAGAUUAGGUAGUUGGUGGGGUAAAGGCCUACCGAGCCUACGAUCUGUAGCUGGUCUGAGAGGACGACCAGCCACACUGGGACUGAGACACGGCCCAGACUCCUACGGGAGGCAGCAGUGGGGAAUUUUGGACAAUGGGCGCAAGCCUGAUCCAGCCAUGCCGCGUGCGGGAAGAAGGCCUUCGGGUUGUAAACCGCUUUUGUCAGGGAAGAAAUCUUCUGGGCUAAUACCUCGGGAGGAUGACGGUACCUGAAGAAUAAGCACCGGCUAACUACGUGCCAGCCGCCGCAGUAAAAC
rnacentral:rRNA from 1 species